UACGUAGGGUGCAAGCGUUUAUCCGGAAUUAUUGGGCGUAAAGAGCUCGUAGGCGGUUUGUCGCGUCUGCUGUGAAAACCCGAGGCUCAACCUCGGGCCUGCAGUGGGUACGGGCAGACUAGAGUGCGGUAGGGGAGAUUGGAAUUCCUGGUGUAGCGGUGGAAUGCGCAGAUAUCAGGAGGAACACCGAUGGCGAAGGCAGAUCUCUGGGCCGUAACUGACGCUGAGGAGCGAAAGCGUGGGGAGCGAACAGG
rnacentral:rRNA from 1 species